UACGGGGGGGGCAAGCGUUGUUCGGAAUUACUGGGCGUAAAGGGCUCGUAGGCGGCCAACUAAGUCAGACGUGAAAUCCCUCGGCUUAACCGGGGAACUGCGUCUGAUACUGGAUGGCUGGAGGUUGGGAGAGGGAUGCGGAAUUCCAGGUGUAGCGGUGAAAUGCGUAGAUAUCUGGAGGAACACCGGUGGCGAAGGCGACGUCCUGGACCAAUUCUGACGCUGAGGAGCGAAAGCCAGGGGAGCAAACGGG
rnacentral:rRNA from 1 species